GGGGAAGGAUCUUUCUCUGGGGAUUGCUCCUCUUGGAGUCUUUUUCUGUAAGUCCAGGACAAAGAUUUUGAGGAAGGAAAGAGACUCCUGGUAAACCAGCCUAAAUGUUUCUGGUGGUGCUCAGCCACCAGCACCCUGUCAGAGACCUCAACAAUUCUGCACCCGACUAGGAAUCACAGCUGCUUCCAGCAGUCAGCACUCUGAAAAAGAAGCAGAAACAGGAAAAACAUCUGAACUGAGGAAGCACACAGUGCCAGGAGGAAAAAGCUGAGGAGUAUGGAAUACUGCAAUCCAGGGAGCCUAUGCACUGCAGAAACAGAGAAAAAAAAAAGCCGAGACAGCUACCACAAAGCCCAAAGGAAGCAGAGACCACUGGGGAAUCAGCUUUCUGCAGAAAAGCAGAUCCAUCGGACACAAAAAGAGGGAAAAUGAGAAUCAGCAGAGUGAUUGCUAGAGACAUCAACAGAAGAAGAAUCAUAUAUCUCACAGUGCACAGCACUGAGUACUAACUAUGGAUCUGGUAAACUGAGAAAGCAGUGAAUCAUUGUAUCUUCAAGGUAAAGCAAUUUUAAGGAUUAAUCCAAGGCAGUUUCUCGUGAAACUUCUUAUGAUGUUGCAAAACUGAAUUGAUCUCGUCAUCUUUAGCUUUUCAGUUACCAAAAUGAACCACAUCCCAUUGCAGGAGAGGCAUGAAAGGAAGCAGCAUAGCAAUAGCAUAAAGGGAUGGCUACACAUAACUAUACUUCCUCAUAAGCCUUUGGAAUCGAUUUCCAGCCACUCUCCAGUCUGUGGGAGUUUGGCCAGGACUUUAAUAAGGCCAAAAUCUGUAAUGGGACUUUCUGCUCACACAACAGUCUCACCAAGGCCUUCAGAGAGCUCCCAGUACUAGUCUCAAACAAAACAAAAAGCAAGCAGCAAAUAGCAGUGGUCUGACAAGGAGACCAAAGUUUUUCCCUCCACAAUAAAGUUCUCUCUGGCACUGGAAUAAAAGCAAAGAAAACAAGUCUUUUUCUAUCUGUGGACCCUUCUAUAAAGAAUCGAACUGAAGAAGAUGUAGCUCUAAGGACUUAAAAGUCAUACUGUUUGAGAAAAUUACAGCAACGGAAGUUGGGCUGCAUCACUAAGAUAUGGCAAGAGAGUUGUGAGCAGGAAACUGUAGAGUAACCCUAUAGAUUCAUUACCCUUUUGUCACUGUACUGAGCACUUACAUUUUCUGUUACCUUUUCUCUCAUUUGAAUGAAGUUCCUUCCUCUUUUGGCCCAAUUCAGAGUUUCUGCCUAGCUUUAUUCAAAUAGCUUUGUCGUGAAUCUUGAGCUCAUCACGGAUUUUCCUUGCCAUCUGACCUUAUGUCAUAGAGUCACACAGAAAAGACAAAGUGUGUCAUCACAGGACUGUGCGAGAUAGCAACAUGCUUCUGGCCUUCCCGCAGCCACUGACAUGCAAGACAUUAGUAGUGAGCUGACAUCAGGAGAGCCAAACAGAUGAUCAUUUUUUUCUACUCCCCACGAAGCCUGAUGCAAAACUCACUGGAACUGCUGAAAAUAUGAAGGGCUUUGGCUUGGGCCCAAAUAAACCAGCCAGGAAUAAUGCUGAAAAGAUAUCUGAGAUGGUACAAAGGAACUAAUCCUAGUCACCUUUCCCUAGCAUCAGGCUCAAUUUGAUUUGAAUUGGCUAGAUUCUGCUGUGAAUUAAGCUCAAAGCCCCAAAGGCAACUUGACUCCAGUCAUCUAGCCUUGCAGCCUCCUCCAAAGUCUAUCCAGAGGGAAAACUGACUAGUCUUAUUCAGUUGCUGCUUAGAGCUAGCACCAUAGAUUAAAAAAGCUUGGGGCACACAAAAAGUGAAUAAUCUGGAUCAUUUUUUCUCUGCAAGUCCUUCGUACAACUUGUCCAUAAUAAUAAGAGUAUUAAUAAUUUUAAAAAGUUAGGAGACAUAAAGAGGAAGCACAAGUAAGAAGGAAAUCUGACCUGAUGAAGUGUGUACGCUUCACAGGAAAGAAAUAGAAGCAG